UUCCCCGCAGAAAAAUCGAUGUUUACCCUAGGGUAGUUGAGCGAGUACGUUAGUUGAGCGAAUAUUGGAAAGGCGAUUGAGAGUUGUGCAAAGUGCGAAGCGCAACCGAGAAACAUUUUCUGAGACAAGUUAUUGAAAGACAUUUAUAUGGCAGACGACAC